CAAAAAAACCGUUGUGUAUAGUGGUGUUAUCUAUUCUAUACGUCAUACACAACGGUUUCAAAACCGUUAUGUAUAGUAGCAUAGAUAACGGUACGAUGCGUCAUACAUAACAGUACGCAUCUGUUAUCUAUAAAGGUUAUACAUAACGGUUUUUCACCGUUAUGUAUUAAGAUUUUUCCAUUAUGUAUUAAUUUUUUUUUAUUUUUUUUUAUCAUAGUUAACAGUUUUUUGUACUUUUUAUAACG
rnacentral:lncRNA from 1 species